UUGAAGACUAUUUUUGAGGAAAACAGAUUAGUUGUCAUAACGUUUAAUUAGAGAAUGCACGGCGUUACCUUGUUAACAAAAAAUUCUAUUAAGUUAAAUAAUAAUGACAACAGCUAAAGAAAAAAAAAUCAUUUUUCAGAUUACCAAUUCCAAAAAAAAACGUGGCAGCUAACAAAUAGACACAAUAGGCACAAGCAAACUGUAGUGUAUUGCGAACACUACCCACAGACGGAAGUAACGGACCGGAGCAAAGGCAAUAAGGAGACCUUUAUAUUGGGGGUACAAGCAUACACUGAUAUAUUAAUUCUUUAAGGGAUUAAAACCAAAAAGGACGUACAUAGCCAAAACUACUAAAAUGUAUAAACAUGUUACAUAUAAAAUCUACUUAAUAAAAAUGUACUAUCUAUUUAAAACAAAUCCCUACGUCGUUAGAUAAAAGCACAUAAAAGACAAUACAUAACACAAACUAAAAAUAUACACGAUCCGCCAAGGGCGUGACUCACAGUUGCUUGAGCUAAUAUCAAGCUGGGUUGCUAAAGGCCACUAAUCCUUUAAGAUUACAUCAACUGUUGUCUGACCCCAGUGUAUUUUUUAUCUAUUUUAAUAAUAUUUCAUCAUUACAAAUUGCAAUAUACAUAUUGCAGUAUUUAUAAGGAAGGGAAGACUCUCGCAACCAUUCCAAACAAGUCUAACAAGUAGGAUUCAUUUUCACUUCUCGGAGGAAAUUUGACUUAACUGUAAACUGUUUAAGUAUAAGUUCAUACAAGUAAUGGGAAACUUUGUGUCACGCCUGGAUGCCUUAGUGGCUAAAGGCUAACUAAGUCUCAGAAGAAGGACCCUCCUCCCGCCAAAAGGCGUUUCCAUAUUAUUCCAAAGGAUAAGGAAUGACGAAGUCUAUGGAUCAAAGUUUUUUAACAAUUAGCCAUUAGGAGCCUUCAAAAUAUUCUGCUAUAUGUGACUCGCAUUUUUUUAUCUUCCGAGUAUAAAAUUCAAUCUGAGGAUACGAACAACUAUCGACGUAAGGAUAUUUCUAUAAAAAUAUUAAGCAAGGAUGCUACUAUGUUAUAGAAAAGUUUUUCAACGGCUUUAUGGACUACUCUCAGCUUCACUUUUUAAAAGAUUUUUCAUGUUGGCCUGAUGAAUGGGAAAUAUACUGAGACAAAGUAACAAGUAUCACCAAUGAUACGUUUUUUAGCAGCUAAACAAACAUCAACUGGACCAUAUUGUAUAUUAUGUCUCAAAAAUUAUUGGAUGAGGUCGAUAUCAACCAUUUUUUAUGUACUUACCCUUCCUAACUUGGUGUUAUGUUUUUCAAAUUUAAAAAUAACCAGACAAUAUUUAAUCGAAUAAAGUAUUUUUUAACAUGAUCCUUAUGCUUCAGGCAUUGACGAAGUAGAAUGUGAGGCUAAUCAACCAAUAUGUUCUAAGUAUAGCAUGUAACAUUUUUAACCGUAUGGCAAAAAAUACUUCUCUUAGGUCAAUUAUAAAAUUCUGAGAGCAAGAAAACAAUUAGAUAUCAAUAUAAUAAAUCAAAAGAGUUUAAAAAACUUAAUAGCGAGUAAACAGGAAGCCUUUAUAAUGAGAAUAUCUUCAAUUCUUCGAAUAAUGUGUAUUGUUUGUUAAUGUUUAAACGCAAUAAAAAAGAAUGAGUUCUAAUAAAAAAUG
rnacentral:lncRNA from 1 species